rnacentral:rRNA from 1 species
AGCGAACGCUGGCGGCAGGCUUAACACAUGCAAGUCGAGCGCCCCGCAAGGGGAGCGGCGGACGGGAGAGUAGCACGUGGGAACAUACUUCUUGGUUCGGAACAACUGAGGGAAACUUCAGCUACUACCGGAUAAGACCUUACGGGGCAAGAUUUAUCGCCGAAAGAUUGGCCCGCGUCUGAUUAGCUAGUUGGUGAGGUAACGGCUCACCUAGGCGACGAUCAGUAGCUGGUCUGAGAGGAUGAUCAGCCUCACUGGGACUGAGACACGGCCCAGACUCCUACGGGAGGCAGCAGUGGGGAAUAUUGGACAAUGGGGGCAACCCUGAUCCAGCCAUGCCGCGUGAGUGAUGAAGGCCUUAGGGUUGUAAAGCUCUUUUGCCCGGGAAGAUAAUGACGGUACCGGGAGAAUAAGCCCCGGCUAACUUCGUG